UUGUGUAGAAGUAAAUAUUACAGUUAAUUUCGGCUUAACUUUUAAGAUAAAUGAUCUUCACACAAA
rnacentral:tRNA from 1 species